AACUCUGGAUGGGAUGCCUCAUAGCUUGGUAUUUGAUUUGGCCUUUUCUAAAGGAAAGUGAUCUGUACCUUUUCCCCCUUGGUCAUCUGACUUUGUUUGGGUGGGUACUAAGUUUGCAGUUUCAGUUGAGGACACAGUUAAUCCUGCUUAGAUAACUUUAGUCAAUGUCAUGAACAAGAGUUGAUCACUAAGCCUGGACAUUUUCACCUAGGCUAGAGAAAGGAAGAGACAUUGCUUUUCAGCCAUCAUCAUCAUCAUCAUCUUGUUCCCUGUCUGCGUCUGCUACUUCUUGCUGCUGGUACCUGUGUCAUUUAAGCCAACACCAAGAUAUAGUUACAGUGACAGUUCCAUUUAUAUUCAUGGGCUUGGCACAGCCUCCGUGUGAUCUUUGACGUGUAUUGAAUGAACCAAAUAAUAGCUGCCCUUAGAUGGCGAGUUGUGUUUUCCUUUUGUUUUGCUUUCUGAACUCUGACAUUAAUAUUUCCCUUUGUUUUCUAGACCAAAUGCUUCAUCUGUGGGAUAGGCAAUGAUUACUUCGACACAGUGCCACAUGGCUUUGAAACCCACACUUUACAGGAGCACAACUUGGCUAAUUACUUGUUUUUUCUGAUGUAUCUUAUAAACAAAGAUGAAACAGAACACACAGGACAGGAAUCUUAUGUCUGGAAGAUGUAUCAAGAAAGGUGUUGGGAAUUUUUCCCAGCAGGAGAUUGCUUCCGGAAACAGUAUGAAGACCAGCUAAAUUAAACUCAGACCCCGAUCACCUCUAAAAACCAAAACCCCACCCCUCUCUCUCCCUCUCU
rnacentral:sRNA from 1 species